rnacentral:rRNA from 1 species
GUGGGGAAUCUUGCGCAAUGGGCGAAAGCCUGACGCAGCAACGCCGCGUGGGGGAUGAAGGCUCUCGGGUUGUAAACCCCUUUCAGCAGGGACGAAUCAAGACGGUACCUGCAGAAGAAGCCCCGGCUAACUACGUGCCAGCAGCCGCGGUAACACGUAGGGGGCAAGCGUUGUCCGGAUUUAUUGGGCGUAAAGAGCUCGUAGGUGGCUGAGUAAGUCGGAUGUUAAAUCCCCAGGCUCAACCUGGGAUCCCAUCCGAUACUGCUCUGGCUAGAGUCCGGUAGGGGAGCGUGGAAUUCCUGGUGUAGCGGUGAAAUGCGCAGAUAUCAGGAGGAACACCAGCGGCGAAGGCGGCGCUCUGGGCCGGUACUGACACUGAGGAGCGAAAGCGUGGGUAGCAAACAGGAUUAGAAACCCCGGUAGUCC